AUUGAACGCUGGCGGCAGGCUUAACACAUGCAAGUCGAGCGGAGAUGAGGUGCUUGCACCUUAUCUUAGCGGCGGACGGGUGAGUAAUGCUUAGGAAUCUGCCUAUUAGUGGGGGACAACAUUCCGAAAGGAAUGCUAAUACCGCAUACGUCCUACGGGAGAAAGCAGGGGAUCUUCGGACCUUGCGCUAAUAGAUGAGCCUAAGUCGGAUUAGCUAGUUGGUGGGGUAAAGGCCUACCAAGGCGACGAUCUGUAGCGGGUCUGAGAGGAUGAGCCGCCAGACUGGGGCUGAGACACGGGCCAGACUCCUACGGGAGGCAGCAGUGGGGAAUAUUGGACAAUGGGGGGAACCCUGAGCCAGCCAUGCCGCGUGUGUGAAGAAGGCCUUAUGGUUGUAAAGCACUUUAAGCGAGGAGGAGGCUACUGAGACUAAUACUCUUGGAUAGUGGACGUUACUCGCAGAAUAAGCACCGGCUAACUCUGUGCCAGCCGCCGCGGUAAGAC
rnacentral:rRNA from 1 species